CAACAAAAACGAUCUAUUGUACCUGCUGUAAUCACUCUAUCCACCAUCCCUCCCCCCUCUCCGUAGCCAGUUCUGCAUCUCGCCUUGCAGCUACUCAAGGUUAUAUGAGGUAUCAAAACGAGCCGAGGGGAAAAUAGAAGAAAGGCCAAACCAGUUGUUUUUAAAACAGAGCACAGAUGGCAUGUAGGAGUAGCUACCAAGAAGCACAGGAGAAUGGAGUCUACUUAUCCUUCAGUUUUGCUAUGUCAACUUAUGUGUCAAUGAGAAUCGGAGGCAUCGAGAACAAGAAAUCCAGAGGGACCAAUCACAUAUGUAAAGGAACCUAGAAUAAACCGAGGGAACUUUCAGACGCCGCAGUGAAAAAUCAAUCAGCUACUUCAACAAUAUUUAGACAUAGCAAAACCACAUAUGAGUCUUACUCUUUGAGCAAUACUCCCUCUAUCCCAUAAUAUAAGGCAGGAUCAAACUUGACACGGCCUCCAAAACUAA